CAGAGGACCAGGCUGAUACCUGGACCGUGGUGGGGGUGGUCUGGGGGCCAGGAGGGACCCUUCUGCCCUCCAGUGUCCUUGUUCUGAUUUUGUAGAUGAAGAAAGAGAGAGGCUGGGAGGAUUAUUUGCAAACAACCAAGAGCUGUGGGAGGGGCCUGAUGGCUCACUGUGACUCCGAUGUUGACGAGCGUGACAAAUGGAAUGGGUCGAACUUUACGGACUGCGCACAGUGUGCCAGGCACUGGAAAGAAGGUGUUAAUCUUGGGUAAAUGCAAUUCUCAUGGCGGACAUUGUAGAUCUGCCUCUUCUUUAUGACAAUUGUCUGGGAGAUGGCAACCGUGUCUUGAGGGAGGGCUGCCAUCUUCUAUCGUGGAUAAAGACAUCGUGUGGGCAUUCUUAAGUCUACUUGGACACCCCCUUUCCUCAUGCAUGUACCCUGCUAUGGAUCUGUCUACAAAUGUGGAUAUGUCUCCACUGUCGUAGAAAUGCACCAGAGCUUUGGUCUUUCCUUUUGGAGGGGGAAAUGCUGGAGGAGUGAACAAAGAGAGGAAGGUGGAGGGACUGUGUGUCCUUUAUUCUUCAUCCAGUUUUGAGGACUCUGAACUCUGGUCACAGGGCAGAUGGCCAAAGCAGAUAAAACCGCUCAAUAAAUGAAGCAGUGAGCGAGGGGAGGCGUGGUCAGUGAACUGCCUCAGGGCCCAGGGACAAGAGUCUGGGAGAGGAGCCCUUCUUCUCUCUGCAUGGCACCCUGUUCUCUUCUGGCCCCUGCGAACCGUAGGCCUUGGAAGCAGGCAUUGGCUGCCACCUUGGCAGAAACUCAAACUGGCCAAGGAUGGGUGCUGCCAGAGAGGCUCUCUGCAGCUUCGGGAGCAAGAGACAUGGAGUGGCGAGCCGCUGGGAUGACAGAUGUUAACUGGAGGUUGAGACCACCACUUCAUUCUUCGUAUCUACAAACAUCAUAGACUUUGGAAACAACCACCAAGAAAAAGCUGGGAGACCUGUGGAGGAAGCCGAGAGCCUGCUGUUCUUCCCUCCCCUCGUACUUAGGGAGCACUGGAGAAAAUGCUGCUGGCUGUUGUAUCCAGGAAGCUUCUCUUAGAGAAUCCAAGUCCCCUCUUGGCCAGCCAAUGAGGACAGGAGCCGGAAUUCAAGCCCAAGCAGAAAGAGCCAUGCUUUUUAUGGCUGCUGCCUCUCCAUUGCUGAAAAGCUCCUCAUCUGUGAGAACCUUCUCCUUCUAUCCUCAUAGUACCUCGUGGUACUCUCCACGCCUGCCAAGAACUUUCUGACCUCCCAGGGAUUUACUUCACUCUGCAAUCAUCCUUCCCACUCGCUGAAACGCCCACCUGUCGGGGCUUUCUAGGGGAUGCUAAUGCCUCUGGGUUAAGGAUCUUAUCUCAAUUUAUUGGGAGACCUCCAGGGAUCCAGAGAUCCAGUCCCAUUAAGCUUGCACAUUUAUUUAAUUAAAAACAAAUCCAAAUGCUGAGGCUUGGGAAACUGCCUGCCGGGUAACACUGAUCUAUAAAUCCCACUUCCUGCUGCUUCCAGGUGGACUGUGAAUACCCUGAAAAUUCAGAUUCACUGGAAAUGUUUUGACCAUUCUGCUUCUGGCUCAAUGGGUUGCAAGAAAUAAAAAUGAAAAGUGGUGGGAGAAAAA